rnacentral:miRNA from 1 species
CGUCAAAGGGGCUGUGAGAUGCG